AUUGAACGCUGGCGGCAUGCUUUACACAUGCAAGUCGAACGGUAACAGGCCGCAAGGUGCUGACGAGUGGCGAACGGGUGAGUAAUGCAUCGGAACGUGCCCAGUCGUGGGGGAUAACGCAGCGAAAGCUGCGCUAAUACCGCAUACGAUCUAUGGAUGAAAGCGGGGGACCGUAAGGCCUCGCGCGAUUGGAGCGGCCGAUGUCAGAUUAGGUAGUUGGUGGGGUAAAGGCUCACCAAGCCAACGAUCUGUAGCUGGUCUGAGAGGACGACCAGCCACACUGGGACUGAGACACGGCCCAGACUCCUACGGGAGGCAGCAGUGGGGAAUUUUGGACAAUGGGCGCAAGCCUGAUCCAGCAAUGCCGCGUGCAGGAAGAAGGCCUUCGGGUUGUAAACUGCUUUUGUACGGAACGAAAAGGCUCUGGAUAAUACCUGGGGCUCAUGACGGUACCGUAAGAAUAAGCACCGGCUAACUACGUGCCAGCCGCCGCUGUAAGAC
rnacentral:rRNA from 1 species